GGCUUAAAAAUAAAGUGAUAAAAUAGACCUUUUGUUUCUUUUUUAUUGCUACUCCCUCAAUUCCAAAAAGAAUGGAAAUCUUAUUUUUGAAGAAAGAAAUAAUUUUAAUUUUAAUUAGAUUUAUAGAAAACAGUAUCAACAUUUCUCUCUCUAUACAUGUUUAUAUUAUAAAAAAUAGCUUUUAUACUUAGCUCUAUUUGGAACGAGAGGAUUAUUACAAUAGAAUCCCAAUUGAGAGGCAACUAAGGGCCGAAUUGGAUGGC
rnacentral:lncRNA from 1 species